GGUUUGGAACCUCCACCAUCUGGGAAAAAAAUAGCGCGCAACUUUUCCCUCACUUUUUUUUUUGACUUGGAUCUUUUUUCUCUGAAACAAAAAAGGUGUCUCAAACCCUCCCUCUCUCUCAAAACCCUCUGUCUCAAAACCUCCCUCUCUCAGUACUUUUUAUUCAACCCCAACUAAAAAGGGUGCCGAUUAAAUAGAAGCUAGAGUUUUUGAAUUUAAGGCCAUUGAUCUCAAAGAUCUUUUCCUUGAAGAGCCCAGUUCUUUAGCAAGGAAAGAAUUUCUUGAGAACCCAAACUCCUUUCAUCUUUUCCACAUAAUUUGCAGAUCUUUUCCAUGAAGCAUCCAUCAAACAAUUUAUUUGUUGGGAACCGUAAACUCGAUCUCCAGAAAGGAAGCUGAGCUGAAUCUAACACACUGCCAAGUGAUGCGGCUAGUGAAUCCCUUUCGCCCAUGGAUGCAAGAAGAUCAUGCGGUGAUAGUAAUCCUAGUGACAACCGUUGAUUUCAUUGUAUUGUUUGGUAGGAAUGGAUGUUAGAACGCUGGAGUGAAUGUAUUGUGUUUAAAUUUAGUUUUUGAGUGAUUUGAUAAUGCUACUUAAAUUUUUAGUUUCAAAAACUAAUGGUACUUUAUGACAUUUGUGAUUUUACGAUAUGUUAUC